rnacentral:rRNA from 1 species
CCCUUAGAUGUUCUGGGCCGCACGCGCGCUACACUGAUGCAUUCAACGAGUCUAAAACCCGGUCUGAUAGGGCUGGGUAAUCUUUUGAAUGUGCAUCGUGAUUGGGAUAGAUGAUUGCAAUUCUUCAUCUUCAACGGGGAAUGCCUAGUAAACGCAAGUCAUCAGCUUGCAUUGAUUACGUCCCUGCCCUUUGUACACACCGCCCGUCGCUCCUACCGAUUGAAUGUUCCGAUGAAUACCAUGGACUGAGAGUAUGAAUGGGUUCGCCUAUUUCUGCUUCUCGGGAAGUGGAGUAAAUCUUAACAUUUAGAGGAAGGAGAAGUCGUAACA